AGCGAACGCUGGCGGCAGGCUUAACACAUGCAAGUCGAGCGGGCGUAGCAAUACGUCAGCGGCAGACGGGUGAGUAACGCGUGGGAACAUACCUUUUGGUUCGGAACAACACAGGGAAACUUGUGCUAAUACCGGAUAAGCCCUUACGGGGAAAGAUUUAUCGCCGAAAGAUUGGCCCGCGUCUGAUUAGCUAGUUGGUGAGGUAAUGGCUCACCAAGGCGACGAUCAGUAGCUGGUCUGAGAGGAUGAUCAGCCACAUUGGGACUGAGACACGGCCCAAACUCCUACGGGAGGCAGCAGUGGGGAAUAUUGGACAAUGGGGCAACCCUGAUCCAGCCAUGCCGCGUGAGUGAUGAAGGCCCUAGGGUUGUAAAGCUCUUUUGUGCGGGAAGAUAAUGACGGUACCGCAAGAAUAAGCCCGGCUAACUCGUGCCAGCAGCCGCGGUAAU
rnacentral:rRNA from 1 species